rnacentral:rRNA from 1 species
UACUCGAGUGGCGAACGGGUGAGUAACACGUGGGUGAUCUGCCCUGCACUUCGGGAUAAGCCUGGGAAACUGGGUCUAAUACCGGAUAGGAGCCAUUUUUAGUGUGAUGGUUGGAAAGUUUUUUCGGUGUAGGAUGAGCUCGCGGCCUAUCAGCUCGUUGGUGGGGUAAUGGCCUACCAAGGCGGCGACGGGUAGCCGGCCUGAGAGGGUGGACGGCCACAUUGGGACUGAGAUACGGCCCAG